rnacentral:rRNA from 1 species
GGGCAGUUUGACUGGGGCGGUCGCCUCCCAAAAGGUAACGGAGGCGCUCAAAGGUUCUCUCAGUACGGUCGGAAAUCGUACGUAGAGUGUAAAGGCAAAAGAGAGCUUGAUUGCAAGACAUACAGGUCGAGCAAGGAUGAAAAUCGGACUUAGUGAUCCGGUGGUUCUGCGUGGAAGGGCCAUCGCUCAACGGAUAAAAGCUACCCUGGGGAUAACAGGCUUAUCUCCCCCAAGAGUCCACAUCGACGGGGAGGUUUGGCACCUCGAUGUCGGCUCAUCACAUCCUGGGGCUGUAGUAGGUCCCAAGGGUUGGGCUGUUCGCCCAUUAAAGUGGUACGCGAGCUGGGUUCAGAACGUCGUGAGACAGUUCGGUCCCUAUCCGUCGCAGGCGUAGGAAAUUUGAGAAGACCUGUCCUUAGUACGAGAGGACCGGGAUGGACGUACCUCUGGUGUACCAGUUGUCCUGCCAAGGGCAUGGCUGGGUAGCUAUGUACGGAAUGGAUAAGCGCUGAAAGCAUCUAAGCGCGAAGCCAACUUCAAGAUAAGAUUUCCCACCGCAAGGGUAAGACUCCAGAAAGACUAUCUGGUUGAUAGGUCGAAGGUGUAAGUGCAGCAAUGUAUUUAGCUUAUCGAUACUAAUAGGUCGAGGACUUGACCAA